rnacentral:rRNA from 1 species
AAGCUCGUAGUUGAAUUUCGGGGUUAGUAGGUUGGUCAUGCCUCCGGUAUGUACUGGUCUCACUGAUUCCUCCUUCCUGAUGAACCGUAAUGCCAUUAAUUUGGUGUUGCGGGGAAUUUGGACUGUUACUUUGAAAAAAUUAGAGUGUUUAAAGCAAGCUAACGCUUGAAUACAUUAGCAUGGAUAAUGAAAUAGGACGUUCGAUCCUAUUUUGUUGGUUUCUAGGAUUGACGUAAUGAUUAAUAGGG